rnacentral:rRNA from 1 species
GAUGAACGCUGGCGGCGUGCCUAAUACAUGCAAGUCGAGCGAACGGACGAGAAGCUUGCUUCUCUGAUGUUAGCGGCGGACGGGUGAGUAACACGUGGAUAACCUACCUAUAAGACUGGGAUAACUUCGGGAAACCGUAGCUAAUACCGGAUAAUAUUUUGAACCGCAUGGUUCAAAAGUGAAAGACGGUCUUGCUGUCACUUAUAGAUGGAUCCGCGCUGCAUUAGCUAGUUGGUAAGGUAACGGCUUACCAAGGCAACGAUGCACAGCCGACCUGAGAGGGUGAUCGGCCACACUGGAACUGAGACACGGUCCAGACUCCUACGGGAGGCAGCAGUAGGGAAUCUUCCGCAAUGGGCGAAAGCCUGACGGAGCAACGCCGCGUGAGUGAUGAAGGUCUUCGGAUCGUAAAACUCUGUUAUUAGGGAAGAACAUAUGUGUAAGUAACUGUGCACAUCUUGACGGUACCUAAUCAGAAAGCCACGGCUAACUACGUG